UUUAUUUUAAUAAUUGUUUUAAAAGAGAUAAGUAAGAUGCUAUAAGUGACAUAAAUGGGAAAAAAAGAAACAAAUUUAUAAAAGACAAAUGACUUUUUUUUUUCCAAUCAACACAUGUAUUAAUAACAUUUUUUUAAAUUACUCAAAAUUAGAAGGGAAAAGGCAUUACUUAAAAGGGAAAAAAAAGAUAUUGGCCAAAAUGCUAUUAUACCAUAGGUUUGAAACAGACACAUGUAUUUGAAUGAGCACAUUGAUUAUUUUAAAAACAAUGCACCAUGCCUAAUGUUAUCAAGAUUUGACAUGAAAGUUUGUAAAAAAUCUAUUUUAAUUUUUAAAUAGAUUGCCAUUUCAAGUACACAACAAUUUUUCUCCAUACACAACAAUUGGUGCUUUAAAAUGUUGUAUUGUACAACUAUAUAAUGCAUGAAUUGUUGUGUAUGGCAAAAAAUUAUUGUGUACGAAUCACUACCCUGUUAUGCAUCCACUAGAUCAUGUCAUUUUAGAUAAGGGUAAUUUGGGGAAAUCAACAAAUAAAGAGCAUCUUGAUUAGUACAGGGGCAUUAUGGGUAUUUUAUAUUUUUUAGUUGUUAUGACUGAUAGUAUAAGAGGGAAGUGGGAUAGGAAUUGAGAUAUCGAUCUUUUCUGUUAAACCUGGAAUUAUUUCCUCUUGGGAGAGUGGCUAUCUCGAAUCAGCUAACCUAUCCUUCGUUCUUGUAAUCUUUUGGCUAUUAUACAGUGUUUCCAAUCAAUAUUAGAAUCAUUGGGUAGUUUUUAUGUUAUUGAAUCUGUUAUUACAAAUCAGUUCAUAACAAAUGGUAUCAGAGCAUUCAUCAUCUGGGAUUAGGACUGGAGAUAAAGGAGGAGGGAAGGAUGCUGGAGGAGAUCUUCUCAAGAGGGUUGAAUCUCUAGAAACUGAAAUAAGGCAGUUGUAUGAUCGAAUGGAGAAUCAUGGGCAUCAGAUCCAACAUCAGAAUGACUCCAUAGCCUCUCUUCAGUUGAAGAUGGACCAAAAUCAGUUGAAGAUGGAUCAAAAGUUCGAGGAGAUUUUGGGUGCCAUAGCCAAAAGCCGACCAACAAUCAACAAUGAGAAGAAAACCGUGGAGGGAGAGCCUAACAACACUCUGGUUCUAUCCAUGGAGGAAACUCCAAGGGUUUACAGAGGAUCGUCGCACACUGAUACAAGAGGUUCAAGAAAUGGAACAGGAGGUGGUUCCGCUGGCAGAGGCGGCGGCUAUAUUACCGCAGGGGAAUACAGUGGAGGGACCAACCGGAGAUUUCACAAACAUGAGAUGAUCUUGUUGGUUGAAACUAACACAGAGGAGUGCAUUUUUAAUGUAGAAAGGUCAUUCUGCUCAUAUGAAGAUGAAGAAAAAAUGGAAGCUGCGGUGGGGGCUCUAGAGGGCGACGUACUAUUGUGGUAUGAACGGGAGCAUCGAAGACGACCCGUUAGAGAUUGGGAAGAGAUGAAGAGCUGGAUUCGUUGUCAGUUCCGACCACCACCGUCAUCACUUACACCGUUCCGGGAACUAGAAGCAAGGAACAAGGGAAAGAGAGAUCUAAUUUUGAACCGGGAAGGAGCGAUCGGGGAUCGUCGGAAGCUAGUGACGUCUUCUCUGGUCGCCAAAUGUGAGGUAACGGCUCUGUUAGAAGAAGACGUAACAGAGGUAACCUGGGUUUAAAAUGGACAAGUGGGCUGAAAUUAAUUCUUUGGGCCAAGUCAGUCUGAAUCUUAUAAUUGGUUUAUAUGACAAAGUUGACGAAGGUGUAAGCCCGACUGAAGUUAAAACGACUAAACCCCAAUCAACAUCGUAUUCACAGGAAGGGCGCCUUCGCAAUGAUAUCGCCUGUCGACUCAGAUAUCCAGACCGGUCCAAAAGGUUUCCUGAUCCCGAAAUCAAGCUCGAGCCGCUCAAAAUCUUCACCGGAAGUCCACAGCCCUAUCUUGACCUAGUUAACGUCGAUACUAUAACUCACAGUUUUCCCAUCUUAUUUCCUCCAUUGGAAGUUGUUUCUCCGGAAUCUCAUCGCUCUAGCAGCUUGUUCCUACAUGGUAUCCGUCUUCAAGAAUCUGUAGCGGGCAUUAAGACCCUACACCUUCACAACAAUAUUUCCUCUAAGAGACGAUCAAAGAAAGGGUAUAAGUCAAAGCAAAGUGAAAACCAAAAAUCUAUAGAGAAAAAUUCUUCAGUUGCAAGGUGUCAAGUUGGGAGUGAUGAGGCAAAUAACUUUGAGAAAGUUAAAGUUCAUAAAUACACCAUGGGAGCCGCAAUAUCUGAGUUCAACCGUCAUCCCUUAACUGCCAUUGAAUUUCUGAAAUCAAAUGGUUGGGUGGAGAAUACACUAGUUUCAAUUGUCCAAUUUCUUAGAAAUACCCCAAGCUUAGACAAGGCAAUAAUUGGUGACUACUUGGGUCAACACAAAGAGUUCUUCCUUGCGGUAUCGUAUGCUAAUGUUGACUCUAGAAGGUUUCUGAAAUGAAAUUUCAUACUGCAAUGGGUAGAUUUCUUAGAGGUUUCUGUCUUCCUGGUGAAGCAUCGAAGAUAGAUAUAAUGGAAAAUAUUGCAGACUGUUACUGUGCAGGUCAUCCCAUUUUUUUUUGAAUUAAACCUUGGAGAAUCUACACCAACAGAGCUUCUAGACAAAAUAAAAAUAAAUGUUGAUGAGCGUGGUAAGAAAAUUGAUCUGCAAAUGAACAUACUAGAAUUAACAUCUAGACUUGUAUCUCGUCUCAUUGAAGGCAUAGCUCAAAAUACAACCGUGAGCAUAUAUUUUCAUGAGGAUGGUGGGAACGUUGGGGAAUCUGGAUUCCAAACAGAGAAAGCUAUACUUCAAAAAGGUGCUAGUAACAAACGAGUAUGUGUUUGUGGGGUAGUCUUAUCUGAGAAGCUUAAGGAGGAGAUUAUACUGAAGAAAAUGAAGGAUCAGGUGUAUGAAAGUGAUUGCUUACAGGAGGGAGAUCUCAAUUAUGUAGGUAACCUGACAAAACAUAGAGUAGUUAAAGUGGGACAAGUGUGUAGAUAUAAGUAUUGUUAUGUUAUUGCCUUUGGUGUGGCUGAUUUGCUUGAUCACCAUAUCAUGAAGAGUGAGAUCGUUGAGAAGAUAUGGAAUGGUUGGGGUGUUCUUUCUGUGGAAAAAGCUACUACCCAAGCAAUUGAGAAGACAAUUCUAAUGAAAAUGAGUAAGAAAGAUGCCAAUAUAAGCAAUGAGAAGCUACAAGAACAGUGGAAAGUUAUGUCUGUGUUGGAAGCCGUGCAUUGCAUCCUUCUAUCCUUUCACCUUGAGGACAAGGUUCAUCUUUUGGGAUGGGGUAUUGCUAUGCCUUUAGUCAAGCUCAAGAAGGCGGAUGGCUCUAAUGACCAUUACUUGCCCCCAUGUUUGAUUACUAAUGAGAUGGGGAAGACUGAUGUUAAAGCUGUUAAGAUGAUCAUGGGNAAAUGGAAGAAGUUAGAAAAUUAAACCAAGAAUGUUAUGAGUGGCUUAAACAAAUACCACCUCAACAUUGGGCACGUUCUCAUUUUACAGGUUUGACCAUGUUAUAUAUUAUAAUAUAUGAUAACUAUUGUUGUAUACUUGUUAUGCACCCACUCUGGUCACCUUAUUUUAGAGAAAGGGUAGUUUGGGGUAAUCAUCAAAUAAAGAGCAUCUUGUUGGUACAGGGGCAUUAUGGGUAUUUUAUAUUAUUUAGUUGUUAUGACUGAUAGUAUAAGAGGGUAGUGGGAUAGGAAUUGAGAUAUCGAUCUUUUCUGUUAAACCUGGAAUUAUUUCCUCUUGGGAGAGUGGCUAUCUCGAAUCAGCUAACCUAUCCUUCGUUCUUGUAAUCUUUUGGCUAUUAUACAAUGUUUCCAAUCAAUAUUAGAAUCAUUGGGUAGUUUUUAUGUUAUUGAAUCUGUUAUUACAAAUCAGUUCAUAACAUACCCAUUCAUUAAGUAAUGGGGAUAAAGCCACUUCAUAAAUAGAGAAAAGGAAAUUUAGGAUACAAAAGACGAAAAUGCCCUUUACCCAGAUUUGACAUAUUGUAGAAGUCUUUUGGUUGUAAU
rnacentral:lncRNA from 1 species